AUCACUGGUGUUCGGGUUGUCAUGCCAAUGGCACUGCCCGGUAGCUAAAUGCGGAAGAGAUAAGUGCUGAAAGCAUCUAAGCACGAAACUUGCCCCGAGAUGAGUUCUCCCUGACCCUUUAAGGGUCCUGAAGGAACGUUGAAGACGACGACGUUGAUAGGCCGGGUGUGUAAGCGCAGCGAUGCGUUGAGCUAACCGGUACUAAUGAACCGUGAGGCUUAACCUUACAACGCCGAAG
rnacentral:rRNA from 1 species